rnacentral:lncRNA from 1 species
CCGGUGCUGGAGCAGGCGGAGGUGAACACGUUCCCCCAGGAGCUGUGGGAGUGAGGGGCGCCGCCCCCCGGCCCCCUUUGUACAUAGCAGGGAAACAUUCCGGCAGGAGGCGCCACUGGAUUGGGUACUUAACUACUGCUAUAAAUGAGCAACACACUUGAAUUAAAGAAGAUUUAUUGAACUAGAA